rnacentral:misc_RNA from 1 species
CGCACCUUGCGCCCUCUGGUAUUCCGGAGGGCAUGCCUGUCCGAGUGUCUUGAAAACCUCACACCUGCCGGGUCCUGCCCGGUGGGAGGUGGACUUGGGUGUUGCCGUCUGGCUCACCUCAAAUGCCUUAGCGGUCCCUCUGGUGGACGCCGUGCGUGCUCACGUUUCGCUCGGCUAAGCCUCUGGCCCGCUCAGAAAUUCUAGAUCUAACACCUUGACCUCGGAUCAGGUAGGACUACCCGCUGAACUUAA